UGAGGUUGUGUUUCUACAGCUUUGAGGAUAUGGACAUUAAUUUCAAAUCUGCCUGGAGCAUAUUGUGCAGCUCGAGGAAUAAGCAAGCAAUUAUUUCCUCAGAAGCUGGUCUGGACAUUCCUGAGAAGUGGAUAUCAGAAAAGAGGGAUCCAUAAAAUCAUCGAGUCUGAAGUGAAGCAUGGGAGGUGGCAGCAAGAGAAGCAAAUGCAACAUGAAGGCCAACCUUCUCUUGUGCUGAGUGAUUUGUUGCUCUAUUUCAAAGUGCAACCAGGAAUCCAGCACAUUGCUGUGUCUAGACUCACUUAUCGACCCGGCCAGACCAGAAAAAGGAUGUUGAUUUCCUUGCAAAGAAUACAUGACAGAAUCAGGGGGUCAGACUUGAUUUGUUCAUCACCUGUCUGUGUCAUUAGGCCCAAAGUCAUGCAGCAGAAAGGGCUUUAGCUCCUUGAAUGUACAGCCAUUCCCAGUGUAUCAUGCUGCUACAGCUCAAGAUUCAGGUUGACAGCUGGCUGACGUUAUUUUUGGUUUGCUGCUGGCGGCAAAUUCAAGUUUGGCGUUUUUCAUAAAUACAAGAAGGACUCAAAUAGACGUUGAGUAUUUUACUUAAAAGUAACCUUCAACCCAACGUCUUUUUUUUCGGAGUUCAAAAUGUUUUUGUUGCAUGCAGAAAUGUAAUUUCGUUUUCUCUGCAGGAGUUCAUCAAUUUCAUAAAUGCAACACAUUAUAGUUUGUUUAUACAUAGCAUAAAGGCAAAACAAAACGUUGUAUGCAGUGUUAUUUCAUUUUAAAUGUCAAACGGGU